GUCGAGCGGAGUAUUUCCUUCGGGGAAUGCUUAGCGGCGGACGGGUGAGUAACACGUAGGUAACCUGCCUAUAAGACUGGGAUAACUAUCGGAAACGAUAGCUAAGACCGGAUAACUGGUUUUCUCGCAUGAGAGAAUUAUGAAACACGGAGCAAUCUGUGACUUAUAGAUGGGCCUGCGGCGCAUUAGCUAGUUGGUAGGGUAAUGGCCUACCAAGGCGACGAUGCGUAGCCGACCUGAGAGGGUGAACGGCCACACUGGGACUGAGACACGGCCCAGACUCCUACGGGAGGCAGCAGUAGGGAAUCUUCCGCAAUGGACGCAAGUCUGACGGAGCAACGCCGCGUGAGUGAUGAAGGUUUUCGGAUCGUAAAGCUCUGUUGCCCUAGACGAACAGCAAGGCGAGUAACUGCGCUUUGUGUGACGGUAUAGGAGAAGAAAGCCCCGGCUAACUACGUGCCAGCAGCCGCGGUAAUACGUAGGGGGCAAGCGUUGUCCGGAAUUAUUGGGCGUAAAGCGCGCGCAGGCGGUUCGUUAAGUUGGGUGUUUAAGCCCGGGGCUCAACCCCGGUUCGCAUCCAAAACUGGCGAACUUGAGUGUAGGAGAGGAAAGUGGAAUUCCACGUGUAGCGGUGAAAUGCGUAGAGAUGUGGAGGAACACCAGUGGCGAAGGCGACUUUCUGGCCUAUAACUGACGCUGAGGCGCGAAAGCGUGGGGAGCAAACAGGAUUAGAUACCCUGGUAGUCCACGCCGUAAACGAUGCAUACUAGGUGUCGGGGAUUCGAUUUCUCGGUGCCGAAGUUAACACAGUAAGUAUGCCGCCUGGGGAGUACGCUCGCA
rnacentral:rRNA from 1 species